rnacentral:rRNA from 1 species
CCUACGGGAGGCUGCAGUGGGGAAUAUUGGACAAUGGGGGGAACCCUGAUCCAGCCAUGCCGCGUGUGUGAAGAAGGCCCUCGGGUUGUAAAGCACUUUCAGUGAGGAAGAACGCCUGGUGGUUAAUACCCAUCAGGAAAGACAUCACUCACAGAAGAAGCACCGGCUAACUCCGUGCCAGCAGCCGCGGUAAUACGGAGGGUGCGAGCGUUAAUCGGAAUUACUGGGCGUAAAGCGCGCGUAGGUGGCUUGAUAAGCCGGUUGUGAAAGCCCCGGGCUCAACCUGGGAACGGCAUCCGGACCUGUCAAGCUAGAGUGCAGGAGAGGAAGGUAGAAUUCCCGGUGUAGCGGUGAAAUGCGUAGAGAUCGGGAGGAAUACCAGUGGCGAAGGCGGCCUUCUGGACUGACACUGACACUGAGGUGCGAAAGCGUGGGUAGCAAACAGGAUUAGAUACCCGGGUAGUC